rnacentral:rRNA from 1 species
ACAUAGCCACUAGCCAACAAAACAAGUAUUAGAGGUGACACCUGCCCAGUGAGGCUCCUUCCUUUAACGGCCGCAAAAACCAACCGCGCAAAGGUAGCGCAAUCACUUGUCCCCCAAAUAGGGACCUGUAUGAAAGGUUGCAUGAGAAAGAAACUGUCUCCUGUGGCUAGUCGAUGAAACUGAUCUGCCAGUACGAAAGCUGGUAUAAAAAAAUAGGACAAAAAGACCCUGUGAAACUUUUAAACCUAAUCAAAACCACACUUGACAACGGUUUUUAGUUGGGGCAACUGAAGAGAAACAAAACCUCUACCAACUGCCAAGUCCAACAAGACAAAGCACACUUUCACCAACCGACCCAGUACCACUGAUCAAAGAACCAAGCUACUCCAGGGAUAACAGCGCUACAUCCUUUAAGAGUCCAUAUCAACAAGGUGUACCUACGACCUCGAUGUUGGAUCAGGGCAACCUGACGGCGAAAAGGCUGUCAAGGGUUCGUUUGUUCAACGAUUAAAGCCCUACGUGAUCU